GCGCCCCUCCGGCCAAUAAAGACCAAAAAAUCAAAUUCCUCGCCCAACUUUUCCCUCUUCCUCAAAAACUCAAAUUCCCCUCUCAUCUCCCCUUUUCCCUCCUAACCUGAUCAACCCUCUUCCUCAAAAACCCAAAUUCCCCUCUUAUCUCCUCCUUCCCUCUUAACCCUCUUAACCUAAUUGAAUCUUCAUGUCCGCACAAAAUUCAAGAACUCAAACUACUCGAUGGCUACUCUACGAUGGUCGACGCCGUCAAAUCCUAUGGCUCAAACCCACUUCCUCUGUGCGCCGACGGAUAUCUUCGGUUUUUCAACUCAUUAGAGAUGGUGCCCCAUAAGAUCCCAACAAGAGAUUCUGAUUUCAUAAUAUCUUCCCCAAAAAACGUUGAUCGAUUCAAGACUUUUUAGGGUUUUUAGGAUCUUCCCCAAAUCCGUAUAUAUAGGUUUUGAAUGGAUAUCAAAUCAGAAGGUUCUACCAAAAGCUGCUUAAUAUGUUGAAUCUACCAGCUGAUAUGGAAAAGAGGAAGCAUAAGCUCAAGCGUCUUGUUCAAUCUCCAGUUCUUUCUUCAUGGUAUCGCAUAAGCUCAAGCGUCUUGUUCAAUCUCUAGUUCUUUCUUCAUGAUUCUAUCAUGGUUGAGAAUUGGGAUUAUCAGGAUAUUCAACUGCAUAAACCACCCUGUUCUUGACACUAUUCCAGUAGUUGUAAUAGAAAUCAAAGUUGAUGAGAUAUAAUGGCGAUGAUAGUGCGAUAUAACCAAAACAGCAUCAGGCUACACCAUCUUUCUGGUGGUUGAGGAGCUCUUCAAGGUUCCUCACCUAUUUGAAGAUUGAAGUGGUUACGGAGGGCGGUGUGGUGACGGUGUUUGAUGUGGAACUGGUGGUUCAGCUGUGGAAGCAUUCGAAGGAGUUGUUAGGGUUCAAAUCAGCACAUGUGAAUAAGCAGUGAUAUUGGUUGAUCAUACGACAUGAGAAAUAGCCACCGGUUACAAGUUUACUCACCACCACAACUCAACAACAGCAAGGUGGCCAACAACCCAUGGAUGUAAAUUUGCAGCACUUUCAAGUCCAAAUUUAGUGAGUAUAUGGACUAGAAGAAAACAUCUUAGAAAUAGUUCUUAGUUUAUGUGUAUAGUCGUUUCCCAGUUUGUAACUUUUGUAGAUAGGUUUUGAUGAUAAGUUUAUGUUGUUAAUUAGUAUUUAAACCGAAAACUUAUGUAUGUAUUUGGGUUUAUUGUUAA